AGGUAAUACAUCGGAACGUGUCUUCUAGUGGGGGAUAACUGCCCGAAAGGGCAGCUAAUACCGCAUGAGACCUGAGGGUGAAAGCGGGGGAUCGCAAGACCUCGCGCUGGAAGAGCGGCCGAUGUCCGAUUAGCUAGUUGGUGAGGUAAAGGCUCACCAAGGCGACGAUCGGUAGCUGGUCUGAGAGGACGACCAGCCACACUGGGACUGAGACACGGCCCAG
rnacentral:rRNA from 1 species